GGCUGCGGUUCCGCCCCCGCGUCCGCCCGAGCGCGCCCCGGGGCGCGGAACCCGCGGGUCGCUUUCCUUCGGCGGCCCUAUUCCCGCUGUGCCAGCGGCAGCUGCGCCAGGAACGGGCUGUCCUGAGCCAGGGAUGGGGAAAAUCGCCGGGAACGAGCGACCGGUGCCUUCAGGGUAAAUGGCCCUUUAUGCCGGAUGUUCUGCUGUGGAUCUUGCAACAAGGGACCUGAUACUUUAUGUGGAAUGUACUACUGUGGAUGUUACAACUACCUGAUCUUUCACGUGGGAAGUUUUAUGGAGGAUGCAGUUACAAGUGAGAAGAACACGAACUCACAGCCAUUAAGGCCUGAUGGUCCCCCGCAGUGAGAGCUCAGCAUACGUCCACAGAGGCAAGUCCAUCAUCUGAAAGGAAAAAAAGAAGAAAAAGGUGAUUUAUUUUGCUUCAAAGUUAUUUCAAGUUCUUAAAGCCCAACCAACAUUUGCUCUUGAUUUUGGUUGGGGGAAUCAUGAGCAAUGGGCACAGGUCAUGUCAUUCAUUUAGCUGAAAACCUGGCAUAAUUUAGAGGGGACACAAGAACUGUUCGUGUAGGAAGAUGUGAGGGGAUGUCAAGGGGAAUGAGGUGGCAUUUUUGAGGGAAAAUGCUGAGGCAACUGAAAGGGGCCCAGCAGAAAAUUUCCCUGGGAAAUCCAAGGCCGCUUGGGACCAGAGCCAGGGCUCUCUAGGGGUAGCAGUGAGGGGUCAGCACUCGGGACUCACUGCAUCCUCCUUCCUUGGCAGCAGCCGGGAGGGAAGGGAGAAGAGGCCCCAUGUGGGACAAGGCCAGAGACAGCAAGCAGAGGAGCAGCCUCAGGCUGGAAAGGGGCAGGAGAAAGGCACUGUGGGCAAAGGGACGUCCCUGGAGUUAGCAGGGCACCUGUGGGGAACAGAAUGGACACUCUGAGGGCAAAUGGAGGUGAGGAGUAGACAGUUUGGGGCAAAAUCUGAGUUCAUCUACAGGGAAAUAAGUAGGGGAUAUUCUGGAGGGAAAAGCUGAAGUGAUGAGUUCACCCAUCUUGGCCCAAGUUGUGUUUGCACAAAGCAGGACCAGAGGUGAAGGUCAAUCCAAAGCUAACCCUGCUUGACCUCUAAAUUCACGGAUAAGUUUUACAAGCUGCCAAAUGAGGGAUUAAAAAUGAAACCAAGAGCAUUAAUGAGAUUCCUGGGAAUCCCAUUACCUCGUUGUCAUAGAACUUUUAACAGAGUUUUGAGCUUUUGAUGUCAACAAUGCAUUUCUUUAUUUGGAUUAUUCACUGUGUGGGAUUUAGAUUUUAAAGCCCUCAUGGUGGCCCUGACACUGCUCGGGAGCUGGUAGGAAAAGCAGAGUCAGAGCUCUUGGCAGGUGCAGGGUGUUUUCCCCCAGAGUAGAUUGUGGAGGAACUGUUUGGGAUUUGGAUCGUCCCUCUGGGUGGUACCAGUUGCUGUGAUUUGUAUAAUUCCAUACAUUUGACUCCCAAAACUUCCCAGCCCACGGGCUUUAGCUGACAGGGCAGCACAAAGAUUGUUCUCUGUGUGGUACCCAGAUUUGAAGUUCGCUAUCUGCUUUGCUAGUUCAGAUGAAUUAUACCCCUAUCGCCAGAUUCCCUGCUCAAUUCCCACUGGAAUUCCUUCACAGUGCCUCAUGGAGUGUGGAUAUUCCCACGCAGAGCUGCUGCUUUAAUGCCAGCUGUGUCAGGAAGCAGCAGAGCUUCCAAGGAAGCUCAGCAGGAUCAGGACAAGGACAGGUUUAUGUUCUAUAGAAUUUGCUAUUUAUAACCCUCAUCCCCCUGGCCCCACUGAUGUCCCCAGGGGGCACUUGACAGAGUUCCCUGGAAUUCAGCUGAUUUCACACCCACCUCCCCUGUGAGCUCAGGCUCCAGGUGAUGUUUUAAAGCAAGAGAAGGAGCUGGCCGGAUGCACUCCCAGCCCCUGCUGAGGCAGCCCCUGUGGCCACGGGAGGACUUCUCUCCCUGCAGGAGCUGAUUUCAUUCCAGAGCUUCAGGAGUGGCCUCUGCAAGUUCUUUUCCCUCAGGAAAGGGAUGCACAUCCCUGCCUUCAGCUCAGCUCCACCUGGGAAAGCUUUCCAUCGGUUCUGCACUUCUGGGUGUCUCCGUGAAAAAAUCCAAACAAAAUUUCAUCCGACUCUGACCUUUGAUUUUAAGGCAUCUCCAAGAACAUUGCUUGGGAUUUAAUUUCUACAAGGGAAGCUUGCCUUGGCUUUAAUGCUGCUGAUGGAUGAUGUCCUCAGGCUGGAAGGGAAGGGAUUCGGGGUGGCUGGGACAUACCUGGUGGGUGUCUGGGAGUUCCAGGAGCUUGGCACCGGGAGUUACUGUCUGAGCCUCUCUGGAAACGCCCCAUGCCGACAUUCCCCGGUGCCAGCUGUUCCUUGGGGCAUUUCUGGGGUUUCAGUGGGGUCUGUCGGGGCUGAAGCAUCUCCGGGUGCCUGUUCAGAGCAGCCCCUGGCCGAGGGGCCGCGGGCAGCCCUUUAUCCAUGUCCAUCCCAGCACUGCCCGGGCAGCCCAGUGCCCGUUCCCGGGAUGUGUGUUUGGCACGCUGCAUGCCACGGGCAGGACACUGCAGGCACAGCUCCUCUCUGCAAAUCCAAAGCACAAGAGCUGCUGCUUCCCUUCCUGGGCCUCCCAGCCUUCUCCUUCCCCCUGUUCCCUGCCAGCUGGGACACACGGAAGGAGCACCAAGGAACACUCCUGGCAGUGAGCAGGAGUUGCUGAGAGCUCUGUGCAGCUCUGGGCCGGAAAAGCUGGCCCGGCCUCAGCAGCCCCUGGGAUUUUGGGCUGUGAACACUCACCUGUGGGAAAGGCCCCUCUGCAGGCAGGAGCAGCCCUGACCCUCUCCAGAAGAGCUUUGGCCGUGGACCAAGUAAACCCUCAGGACUUGCCUUGCUCAUUUCUCCCUGGAAAGGGCCAUGGAACGAGCACCUUUACAGAUGUUGGG